ensembl:lncRNA
GUACCAGUUGCAGUUGUGGUGGCAUUGCCUGUUGUAGUGUGGGCUGCAGUUGUGGUGACAGGGGAAGUUGUAGUGGCAACUGCUGUUGUAGUACCAGCUGCAGUUGUGGUGGCAUUGGCUGUUGUAGUGUGGGCUGCAGUUGUGGUUACAGGGGAUGUUGUAGUGGCAACUGCUGUUGAGGUACCAGCUGCAGUUGUGGUGGCAUUGGCUGUUGUAGUAUGGGCUGCAGUUGUGGUUAGAGGGGAAGUUGUAGUGGCAACUGAUGUUGAGGUACCAGCUGCAGUUGUGGUGGCAUUGGCUGUUGUAGUGUGGGCUGCAGUUGUGGUGACAGGUGAAGUUGUAGUUGCAGCUGCAGUUGUAGUGUUAGCCUCUGUCGUAAGAGUGGCGGCA